AUUAAAUUUAACAUAAAAACGGAAUACAUUAUUAAUUUCCAAAAAUAAUAACCAAUCAAAAUCAACAUAUAAGAUUUGAUAUCUAAAUUUUAAUUAAUUUAAUUUAAUUAGAAAAAUGAAAUGCAUUAUUAAUUUCCAAAAAAGUAACCAAUUAAAAUCAACAAAUUAGAUUUGAUAUCUAAAUUAUCAUAUUAAUUUUUUAUUAAUUAUUAUAGUUCACUUCUCAUCUUUAUAUGAUUCUAUUUUUGCCGAAAAAUAAUAUCAUCAUUAUAAAAAAAUAAUUUGAGUUUUUUCGCAUAUGUCAUAAUUUGAAUUUUUAAAAACGAAUAUAAACUGUUCAAUACAUGAAAAAAAUUAUAACGGAUGAAAAAUAGAUUUAAGAAAACUUUCUACUGAGUAACUGGUCAUAAUUUGAAUUAUUUCUAUUCAAUUUCAUACAUAUUAUAUUGAAAAUUUAUAAUCUUAUAUACUACAAUAAUUAAUAACAUAUUAGAUGUGAUUCAAUUUUUAAUACAAGCUGGAAAAUCCUAGAAUUAACGGGUUUAGAUCGAUAUUAAUACAAGAUGGUAUACUACAUGUCAAACUCUUAAAUUAACAAUCAAACUACAAGUGUAUAAUCUUAAACACUAAACAAUAUAGAUAAUAUCAACAAAACAUAUACAACUCACAGUUUACUAUACAUUUAAAAUCAAAUAAAAUAAUAUCAUAUAUUUUUAAAUCAUCUUUACAAUAAAAGUUUUUAGUUUAACUAAAAUAUAAGGCUACUUGCGGUAUACUGCAGGUUAAUAUCUAGAUUAUAGGGCUUAUUGGAUCUAGAGAUGGGUCAUCAAAGAUUUCCUAAACUGAAGCAAAAUAUACUGAAUAUUCAAAUAUCUAUCUAUUACCAAAUUAUAAACAAAUAAGUUCGUAAACAAUUUA
rnacentral:sRNA from 1 species